AGGAGGGGCAUGCCUGGUAUGCGCAACAUCUUGAAUAAUUUUUAUUUUGUAUGAUUCUGUUUAAUAGACUUUUUCACUUGUUUUUCUUUUGUUAUGGUGCUG